rnacentral:rRNA from 1 species
CCUACGGGAGGCAGCAGUGAGGAAUAUUGGUCAAUGGACGCAAGUCUGAACCAGCCAUGCCGCGUGCAGGAAGACGGCCCUAUGAGUUGUAAACUUCUUUUGUACGAGGGUAAACGCAGAUACGCGUAUCUGUCUGAAAGUAUCUUACGAAUAAGGAUCGGCUAACUCCGUGCCAGCAGCCGCGGUAAUACGGAGGAUUCAAGCGUUAUCCGGAUUUAUUGGGUUUAAAGGGUGCGUAGGCGGUCGGAUAAGUUAGAGGUGAAAUUCCGAGGCUCAAAUGCGGAAUUGCCUCUGAUACUGGUAGGCUAGAGAGGAGUAGAGGUAGGCGGAAUGUGUGGUGUAGCGGUGAAAUGCUUAGAGAUCAUACAGAACACCGAUUGCGAAGGCAGCUUACCGGGCUACUACUGACGUUGAGGCACGAAAGCGUGGGGAGCAAACAGGAUUAGAUACCCUUGUAGUC